CAGUAGUCACGUAGUUGAUCCUGGCUCAGAACACGCUGGCGGCAUGCCUAACACAUGCAAGUCGAACGAGACCUUCGGGUCUAGUGGCGCACGGGUGCGUAACGCGUGGGAACCUGCCUUUAGGUUCGGAAUAACUCAGAGAAAUUUGUGCUAAUACCGUAUGAUGUCGAAAGACCAAAGAUUUAUCGCCUAAGGAUGAGCCCGCGUAAGAUUAGCUUGUUGGUGAGGUAAAAGCUCACCAAGGCGACGAUCUUUAGCUGGUCUGAGAGGAUGAUCAGCCACACUGGGACUGAGACACGGCCCAGACUCCUACGGGAGGCAGCAGUGGGGAAUAUUGGACAAUGGGCGAAAGCCUGAUCCAGCAAUGCCGCGUGAGUGAUGAAGGCCUUAGGGUUGUAAAGCUCUUUUACCAGGGAUGAUAAUGACAGUACCUGGAGAAUAAGCUCCGGCUAACUCCGUG
rnacentral:rRNA from 1 species